GGAUCUGUAGCUUAAAGUAAAGUGUUCGCUUGUCACGCGAAAGGAUGCCUGUUCGAUUCAGGUUAGAUUCG
rnacentral:tRNA from 1 species